rnacentral:rRNA from 1 species
AUGAUUGAGAACUUCCAGGACGCGGUGGCUAUUUCACGUGUCUUUGGCCCACCAGACCUUUUCACCACCUUUACCUGCAAUCCCAAGUGGCCUGAGAUAACAGAAGCCCUAUCUUCUGAGCCUGGCCAGAUGCCUUCAAACAGGGCGGAUCUUCCGGUUAGGGUUUAUCACAUGAAGCUCAAUGACUAUAUUCAUGAUAUUAAGAGUGGGGAGGCCUUUGGUCCUGUCGUAGCGGUACUGCACACUGUGGAGUUCCAAAAAAGAGGGCUUCCUCAUGCCCAUAUCCUGAUCUGGCUUGAUAGGAAAAAACGGGAGAUGGCGCAUCAGAUGCUCUCUGAGAUACACAAGCACAGCAGGAAGUGGGUUGUCUCUGUCCUUGUCUCGCGCCUGUGGUUU